CCUACGGGAGGCAGCAGUGAGGAAUAUUGGUCAAUGGGCGCGAGCCUGAACCAGCCAAGUAGCGUGAAGGAUGACUGCCCUGCGGGUUGUAAACUUCUUUUAUAAAGGAAUAAAGUGAGGCACGUGUGCCUGUUUGUAUGUACUUUAUGAAUAAGGAUCGGCUAACUCCGUGCCAGCAGCCGCGGUAAUACGGAGGAUCCGAGCGUUAUCCGGAUUUAUUGGGUUUAAAGGGAGCGUAGAUGGGUUGUUAAGUCAGUGGUGAAAGGUUGCGGCUCAACCGUAAAAUUGCAAUUGAUACUGGCAGCCUUGAGUACAGGUGAGGUAGGCGGAAUUCGCGGUGUAGCGGUGAAAUGCUUAGGUAUCACGAAGAACUCCGAUUGCGAAGGCAGCAUACUAAACUGCCACUGACAUUGAUGCUCGAAAGUGUGGGUAUCAAACAGGAUUAGAUACCCCGGUAGUC
rnacentral:rRNA from 1 species